UACGUAGGGGGCAAGCGUUGUCCGGAAUCAUUGGGCGUAAAGAGCGUGUAGGCGGUUCGGUAAGUCUGCUGUGAAAGUCCAGGGCUCAACCCUGGAAAGCCGGUGGAUACUGUCGGACUAGAGUGCGGAAGAGGCGAGUGGAAUUCCCGGUGUAGCGGUGAAAUGCGCAGAUAUCGGGAGGAACACCGGUGGCGAAGGCGGGUCUCUGGGCCGAUACUGACGCUGAGGAGCGAAAGCGUGGGGAGCGAACAGG
rnacentral:rRNA from 1 species